UCCCGUGUGGCUCAGUUGGUAGAGCAUGGUAUUUGCAACACCAGGGUAGUUUGUUCAAUUCCCACGGGGG
rfam:Salmo salar isolate Sally breed double haploid chromosome ssa01, whole genome shotgun sequence.